rnacentral:rRNA from 1 species
GACGAACGCUGGCGGCGUGCUUAACACAUGCAAGUCGAACGGAAAGGCCCUGCUUUUGUGGGGUGCUCGAGUGGCGAACGGGUGAGUAACACGUGAGUAACCUGCCCUUGACUUUGGGAUAACUUCAGGAAACUGGGGCUAAUACCGGAUAGGAGCUCCUGCUGCAUGGUGGGGGUUGGAAAGUUUCGGCGGUUGGGGAUGGACUCGCGGCUUAUCAGCUUGUUGGUGGGGUAGUGGCUUACCAAGGCUUUGACGGGUAGCCGGCCUGAGAGGGUGACCGGUCACAUUGGGACUGAGAUACGGCCCAGACUCCUACGGGAGGCAGCAGUGGGGAACAUUGCACAAUGGGCGGAAGCCUGAUGCAGCAACGCCGCGUGCGGGAUGACGGCCUUCGGGUUGUAAACCGCUUUCGCCUGUGACGAAGCGUGAGUGACGGUAAUGGGUAAAGAAGCACCGGCUAACUACGUG